rnacentral:tRNA from 1 species
CGGGGCGUAGCGCAGUCUGGUAGCGCACCGCGUUUGGGACGCGGGGGUCGUGGGUUCAAGUCCCUCCGCCCCGACCA